CCUACGGGGGGCAGCAGUGAGGAAUAUUGGUCAAUGGGCGAGAGCCUGAACCAGCCAAGUCGCGUGAAGGAUGACGGCCCUACGGGUUGUAAACUUCUUUUGUCAGGGAGCAAUUUGGUCCACGCGUGGGCUUAGCGAGAGUACCUGCAGAAAAAGCAUCGGCUAACUCCGUGCCAGCAGCCGCGGUAAUACGGAGGAUGCGAGCGUUAUCCGGAUUUAUUGGGUUAAAGGGGUGCGUAGGCGGAAUAUCAAGUCAGCGGUAAAAAUUCGGGGCUCAACCCCGUCGUGACGUUGAAACUGAUGGUCUUGAGUGGGCGAGAAGUAGGCGGAAUGCGUGGUGUAGCGGUGAAAUGCAUAGAUAUCACGCAGAACUCCGAUUGCGAAGGCAGCAUACCGGCGCCCAACUGACGCUGAAGCACGAAAGCGUGGGUAUCGAACAGGAUUAGAUACCCUGGUAGUC
rnacentral:rRNA from 1 species